UCAAAGUUUUUUUGGCUUAAUUUUUCUAUAUAAUAUGCCUUUAAAUGCAAGUUUUAGUGUGAAAGACAAAAUAUAGACAAUUUUUCAAAUAAAAAAGAAAUCGCAGUAAAUAGAAUUAUUUAUUUAAGUAAUUAAGAAAUAGGAAUUAUUUUUAAUACAGGCCAAAUUUGUGCCAGCAGUCGCGGUUACACAAAUUGUAUUAUAGAAAAUUUUUAAUACUAGUUAAUAUUAAAAUUUUAAUUUAUAUAAAAUUUUAUUAAGUAAAAUUUUAAAAUUUUGAAAAUUUAAAUUUAGAUUAUAAAACUAAAAAAUUUUAUUAAAAGACUAGGAUUAGAUACCCUAUUAUUAGAAAAAUAAAUUUUUGUAUUAAAUUAGUACCAGAUACAAUCUUGAAAAUUAAUAAAGUUGGCGGUAUCUUAGUCUAUUCAGAGGAACUUGUUCUGUAAUCGAUAGCCCACGAUUUAAACUACUUAUACUAAUAUUUGCAUAUCGCCGUAGAUUGAAUAUUUUUGUAGAAUCAUGUAAUAUUCAAGAAUUUUGUAAAAUAAGAAUUCAGGUCAAGGUGUAGUUCACGUGUAAGAAGAAAUGAGUUACAAUAAAUUUAUUUAAACGAAUUAAUUUUAUUUGAAAACUAUGAAGGUGGAUUUGAAAGUAAUUUUAAAAAAAUAUUUAAAAUGAUUUUAGCUCUAAGAUAUGUACAUAUCGCCCGUCGCUUUCACUCCAAGGUGAAAUAAGUCGUAACAAAGUAGGUGUACCGGAAGGUGCCCCUAGAAACCC
rnacentral:rRNA from 1 species